CAGCAGCCACGGGAAUACGUAGGGUGCAAGCGUUAAUCAGAAUUACUGGGCGUAAAGCGUGCGCAGGCGGUUUGUUAAGACGGAUGUGAAAUCCCCGGGCUCAACCUGGGAACUGCAUUCGUGACUGGCAAGCUAGAGCAUGGCAGAGGGGGGUGGAAUUCCACGUGUAGCAGUGAAAUGCGUAGAGAUGUGGAGGAACACCGAUGGCGAAGGCAGCCCCCUGGGCCAAUACUGACGCUCAUGCACGAAAGCGUGGGGAGCAAACAGGAUUAGAUACCCCCGUAGUCCCUGUCUCUUAUAC
rnacentral:rRNA from 1 species